rnacentral:lncRNA from 1 species
UGACAACUUGCCCAGCGCAUUGACGGAUCUGCGAUGAACUACGUUGAACUACGUUUAAGUACGGACAGCCUCGGAUAACUACGUUAAGCUACGGACCAAUACGCAUUACUACGUUCGCAUUAGGUUUAAUAGCGGGUCGCUGUCUGGUCAAAUAUAGUCAAAACAUAUGACAACAGAUGGUAAUGCAGCAGACAGUUAUAAGAUAGAACAAGCGAUUAACAUCGACUAUCCGAACACCAGCUACGACCGAGGCCAUCUUAACCCAAACUUUUACCAGGGUAAUGAAGGCCGUACUGCUACUUUCACACUCACGAACGCUGUUCCACAGGAUCCUUGCUUUAAUCAACAAAUAUGGAAAGACAUGGAAAAAAGGUCCAAAGUCAUUAUGGAAGCGAGGCGCUAGAAGGUACUUUGUAACUGGUGCUGUUCCGUCAAAAAACAAAAUACCCCCCGUAUUACAUGAUAAUGAAGGAGAUCGACCGAGGGAAUAUAACAGUCAGUGUGCCAUCGGGAAUGUGGACUGCUGCCUGUUGAGACUCUUCAAAUGCAGUUAAUGCCGAAGACAGUGAGAAAGGCUUCUCUUUUGGCUAUUACGGUGACAAUGUCCCGGACUCUUACGUCUUUCCAUACACAAUUGGCCUAUUAGAAGAAACACUUGCCACUAAAUAUUGGUAAACACAUUUGGAGAUUUUCGCUGACUCAUGUUACUCUUCGUCAAAAACCACUGCAGUAGUAGUAAGGGAGCUGUCUAUCCCGGUAGAACGUAAAAUUGCAGAAACACUUGCUAAUGUGGGGGAGUCGUCACUACGCUAAGAGCAUAUGUAGGAAACGUUAAUUUAAAUUUACAUGAUGACGAGGCUUUUGCUAAAAAUAACUGGAGACUCGCCGAUGUAGAUUUCGGAUUAAUAGAAAAACGCAGCGAUAUUCAGAAUACGCGCGAUUUGUUGGCGCUUUCUAUAAUGACGACUCUGUUAACAUGCGCACGUAAAAACAAUGUUGGAAAGCGUGAAGUUCAAGACCUCACUAACGAAAAAUGUGACGACUAUGUUGUUGUCCCGGCUUUAGAGUCGACGCACAGUGCUACAGUUUCCCGAUGCAGACAAGAUCUACCUUGCGGUUAUCACAAGAAAUCUUACCAAUGGUGCUAUAUCGACUUGAGCAGCAACUGGGAUUACUGUUAUAUUGAUGCAUGCGGCUUUGAACAAAGCACGAGCUACUCGUGGUGCUAUACAGGUAAUUCUAAACACUGGGCGUAUUGUUCACAAAGAAGUUCCAUCAUAUCUAUUUCCGGUAAACAAUGUAGAGCUGACCAUGAAUGCGGGUUACACGGCAAGUGGUACCACUGGUGUUACACAGACACGAAUAACAACUGGGACUGUUGUUGUCAACCUUGGCAUGAGUGUGACUGCUAUGAAAAGAGCUAUAAAUGGUGCUAUUAUAGCAACAAGAAUGAAAGCUACUGCGACUAUUGCUAUUACUGAGGAAAAUUUCUGGAACUAUUACCACUAUUGAGGAGACAUAAUCGAAAUAUUACCACAAUUUAGGAACCAAUAAGGACACUGUUAUGCGGAAGUUGCAUCAGCGAAUCAGUUUUAAAGUAAAAUGAGGGAAAUAUCUUUGCAAUACAAUAUACAACAUUACUAGUGAAAUGGCAGUGUCUGAGCCCAUAAACUUAAGUCUAAAAAUUUACCGUGAAAAUGUUCGCCUAUUUCUUUCUCCCUGCAGAUAUGCUGGGAAAAAAUACAUGUAAUCAGUAACGCUCGUUCAUGUCUGGCAAAUAACCAUUCAUGGUAACCAGUAGUUUACUUAAUAUUUACAAAUAAGUGCCUGAUUUUCCUGGAAUUUUCUCCCCUUUUCCGCCAUUUUAUCUUUGGUCACGGAGGUUGCCGUAUUGGCGUAACCAAGCAACCCUCAAGCCAAUCAAACGAGCAAUAGUGAGCCAAAUCGUUCUAAGUAUAUUUUUACCAAUUAAUAUGGCCCGUAGACCCCGAGCUUUAGCUCCUUUGGUCCUAAAUAUUUAAAUUACUUUUGGACAUUCUCUUGACCAUAGCAGCCGCAUUUUUGUCAGAUACAAUUUCCUUGUAUGAUUUACGGUCUGUCACUCUAUAUAUUAAUAUUACCAUUCCACUUCUAUGAAAGUCCUUCUUAAGCGUAAUUAGUAGGGUUAGAUCCCCAUUUAACCUAAAGGGUUACACAUAAAAAAAGCCAGAGUGCUUAUAAUGGAGUAAUUAGUUUGCACAUUAAAGGUAUAUUAAUACGAUAAAGGCCUGUGAGGCGAUAAAGGUAUUUUAUACAUAAAAGGUACAAACUGAGGCAGCGGUCAACAUCCAUCCCGGCCCUGUCCCCUUUCGAGGUUUCUUCUGAAUAUUGCGAGGCUCUUGACUUAUGUGUUCUGUACGAUUAUUUGAUCAUCAAUUAAUGUUAGAGACGUAACGCGCCCCUAUAUGCCUAUACAGUGACAGACUGGCUUGUAAAAAUCCCCGCAUAUUUGUCAUAUUUCCAUAUAUCAGAAUUGUACUUAUGAAUGUUUUUAUGUUGUGAAAUGAAUGAAGAAAUGAAUGUCGAAUGAAAUAAAUGAAAUGAAAUAAUA